rnacentral:rRNA from 1 species
AGUGAACGCUGGCGGUAGGCCUAACACAUGCAAGUCGAACGGCAGCACAGUAAGAGCUUGCUCUUACGGGUGGCGAGUCGCGGACGGGUGAGGAAUACAUCGGAAUCUACUUUUUCGUGGGGGAUAACGUAGGGAAACUUACGCUAAUACCGCAUACGACCUACGGGUGAAAGCAGGGGAUCUUCGGACCUUGCGCUAUUGAAUGAGCCGAUGUCGGAUUAGCUAGUUGGCGGGGUAAAGGCCCACCAAGGCGACGAUCCGUAGCUGGUCUGAGAGGAUGAUCAGCCACACUGGGGCUGAGACACGGUCCAGACUCCUACGGGAGGCAGCAGUGGGGAAUAUUGGACGAUGGGCGCAAGCCUGAUCCAGCCAUACCGCGUGGGUGAAGAAGGCCUUCGGGUUGUAAAGCCCUUUUGUUGGGAAAGAAAAGCAGCAGGUUAAUACCCCGCUGUUCUGACGGUACCCAAAGAAUAAGCACCGGCUAACUUCGUG